ensembl:lncRNA
GUUUGGUCAGCGGACACCUGGGGUUAAAUGCGUUGUACUGUAGCUUUAUAGGUUCGGUCAGCGGACACCUGGGGUUAAAUGCGUUGUACUGUAGCUUUACAGGUUCGGUCAGCGGACACCUGGGGUUAAAUGCGUCGUACUGUAGCUUUACAGGUUCGGUUAGAUAAGGUAAAGUUGUGCCCUGCUGCUGGCGUUCCCUAGUCAAUGCCAGUCACUUGGAGUUAGACAUGCCUUGCUUCUGUCACCGGUCACAUGGGUUAGACUUUGUCUUACAGGUGUGGUUAGCGCACACCUGGGGUUAGAAAGAUGUGCCUUGUUUUUACUGUCUUACAGGUGUGGUCAGCGAGCAGUGCGUGCGUUGCGCUUGUAGGAAGUCCUUUACGGUUCCCAAGUGCGGCGUGCAAUCUGUCAGCGCACACCUGGGGUUAGACGUGCGUCAC